AAGCNGAGGAAAAGAAACCAACAGGGAUUGCCUCAGUAACGGCGAGUGAAGCGGCAAAAGCUCAAAUUUGAAAUCCCCCGGGAAUUGUAAUUUGAAGAGAUUUGGGUCCGGCCGGCRGGGGUUAAGUCCACUGGAAAGUGGCGCCACAGAGGGUGACAGCCCCGUGAACCCCUUYAAMGCCYUCAUCCCAGAUCUCCAAGAGUCGAGUUGUUUGGGAAUGCAGCUCUAAGUGGGUGGUAAAUUCCAUCUAAAGCUAAAUACCGGCGAGAGACCGAUAGCGAACAAGUACAGUGAUGGAAAGAUGAAAAGCACUUUGAAAAGAGAGUGAAAAAGUACGUGAAAUUGUUGAAAGGGAAGGGCUUGCAAGCAGACACUUAACUGGGCCAGCAUCGGGGCGGCGGGAANCAAAACCACCGGG
rnacentral:rRNA from 1 species